rnacentral:rRNA from 1 species
UCCAGCUUGUCUGAAUUAUUCACCCAUGUCUUUUGCGCACUUCUUGUUUCCUGGGCGGGUUCGCCCGCCACCAGGACCAAACCAUAAACCUUUUUGUAAUUGCAAUCAGCGUCAGUAAACAAUGUAAUUAUUACAACUUUCAACAACGGAUCUCUUGGUUCUGGCAUCGAUGAAGAACGCAGCGAAAUGCGAUACGUAGUGUGAAUUGCAGAAUUCAGUGAAUCAUCGAAUCUUUGAACGCACAUUGCGCCCUUUGGUAUUCCAAAGGGCAUGCCUGUUCGAGCGUCAUUUGUACCCUCAAGCUUUGCUUGGUGUUGGGCGUCUUUGUCUCUCACGAGACUCGCCUUAAAAUGAUUGGCAGCCGACCUACUGGUUUCGGAGCGCAGCACAAUUCUUGCACUUUGAAUCAGCCUUGGUUGAGCAUCCAUCAAGACCACAUUUUUUUCAACUUUUGACCUCGGAUCAGGUAGGGAUACCCGCUGAACUUAAGCAUAUCAAUAAGCGGAGGAAAAGAAACCAACAGGGAUUGCCCUAGUAACGGCGAGUGAAGCGGCAACAGCUCAAAUUUGAAAUCUGGCUCUUUUAGGGUCCGAGUUGUAAUUUGCAGAGGGCGCUUUGGCUUUGGCAGCGGUCCAAGUUCCUUGGAACAGGACGUCACAGAGGGUGAGAAUCCCGUACGUGGUCGCUAGCUAUCGCCGUGUAAAGCCCCUUCGACGAGUCGAGUUGUUUGGGAAUGCAGCUCUAAAUGGGAGGUAAAUUUCUUCUAAAGCUAAAUAUUGGCCAGAGACCGAUAGCGCACAAGUAGAGUGAUCGAAAGAUGAAAAGCACUUUGGAAAGAGAGUCAAACAGCACGUGAAAUUGUUGAAAGGGAAGCGCUUGCAGCCAGACUUGCUUGCAGUUGCUCAUCCGGGCUUUUGCCCGGUGCACUCUUCUGUAGGCAGGCCAGCAUCAGUUUGGGCGGUGGGAUAAAGGUCUCUGUCACGUACCUCUCUU